rnacentral:tRNA from 1 species
GCCCGGAUGGCGAAAUCGGUAGACGCAAGAGACUUAAAAUCUCUGGGGGCAACCCCGUGCCGGUUCAAGUCCGGCUCCGGGCACCA